CUCACCUGAGGGUUCACCUGAGUGCUUUCCAGCGCACCCGGAUUCUCGGCACGAGACCAGAUACCUCUGGGUGACAUCAAGACGCCAAUGCCUGCAGAGGCAGAAAGGUUGCACUGAAGCAAGCAACAUUCAAGUGAGGAAGAAUUAAAAUGUCACGGUUGGAGCAUCUAUAAUUUCUUCCCUGGCUCCGUUCAACAUCCUGGGAUACAUUUCAUCCGAGCCUGGUGAGUUACCCAUUGACUAAAAUGACGGACUCUUGAUGCCUCCCCUUAUUCUCUACAUGUCCCAUACAAUAUUUCACAUUUGUUUACUGUAACAAUAUUAUCCCCCUCGUAUGAAUAGUUACAACUAAUCAAGGUUCACCCCCGGGGAAUUGAAAUCCAACAACAUUGUCCUUGUACAUUUAAGGUAGACAAAAGUGCUGGAGAAACUCAGCGGGUGCAGCAGCAUCUAAGGAGCAAAGGAAAUAGGCAACGUUUCGGGCCGAAACCCUUCUUCAGACUGAUGUAGGGUGGGGGUGGGGGGUGGGGUGGGGCGAUGGGGAGAAGAAAUGAAAAAGGAAAAAGGAAGAGGAGGAACCCAAGGGCUGCCCUCAGAACCAGUGCAAGUGCCCGAGGAAUAUUCAGCCCUCUCUCCUGCACCAUCACUCCCCUACUCAUCACCCACACCUACACUCACUGUACCAGCUACUGGGAGCAAUCUGGAGAUUAGCAUCUUUGCACGCGUUAGAACAGCAAGAUUAUCAAAUACAAGCACCCUGAUGAUAGAAUAUGAAGACAGGGAUGUAAUGCUGAGGCUUUAUGAGGCACUGGCCAGACCACAUUUGGAGUAUUGUGAGCGGUUUUGGGCUCCACCUCUAAAGAAGGAAAUGCUGGCGUUGGAGAGGGUCCAGAGGAUGAUCCUAGGAUUGAGUGGGUUGACGUGUGAUGAGCAUUUGUAGGCACUGGGCCUGUACUCGCUGGACCUGUACUCGCUGUAGGAUGAGGAGGGACUUCAUUGAAACUUGCCGAAUAGUGAAAGGCCUGGAUAAAGUGGAUGUGGAGUGGAAUUUCUUUAGUUAGGGAGUGGUGAAUCUGUGGAAUUCAUUGCCACAGACUGCUGUGGAGGCCAAGUCAAUGGGUAUUUUAAAGGUGGAGAUUGAUAAGAUUCUUGAUUAGUACGGGUGUCAGAGGUUAUGGGGAACAGGCAGGAGAAUGGGGUUAAGAGGGAAAGAUAGGUCAGCCAUGAUUGAAUAGUGGAGUAGACUUGAUGGGCCAAAUGGCCUAAUUCUACUAUAAUUUAUGAACAAUAUAACACAACCUCAAUUCAGCUGCUUGGACCUCACUCUCUAAUUCCAAUAAGAACCUUGGGCUCUGGAUACUCAGUUUACACUAUAAAUUCACCAGUGUUGUUCUGUCAAACAGACUGCUAAAUACAGCCCAGGGCCCACCCCAAUCCUUCCCUCCACCUUUAAUCCUUUACUCUCAACAUGACUGUUUCUCCUCAUGCUUUGCCUCAACUGCUCGAACCCUCAGUGAAGAUUUUCUCUUCAUAUUGUCCUGCAGACAUCAAUGAUCGAUGAAGUGAGAUGUGAAAUGGAGCAGGUCCUUACCCAGUAAUGCCAGCAACACCAGCAGCAUCCACUUCUUCACGUGAGGGACACACCUGGAGGGGAAACACACACAAGUCAGCCGGCUAUUGAACCCAACCCUGUCUCAAGCGAGAUGGACACAAAAAGCUGCCGUAACUCUGUGGGUCGGGCAGCAUCUCUGUAGUCUGAAGAAGGGCGUUGUCCUGAAAUGUCACCCAUUCCUUCUCUCCAGAGGCGCUGCCCGACCCGCUGAGUUACUCUAGCUUUUUGUAUCUAUCAUUGGUUUAAAACACCAUCUCCAGUUCCUUCCCACACACGUUUCAAGCAAAUCGAAUGCUCCCAUCAAACAGACAGAAUCAGGUCAAUGAUUAUGGUCAAGAGAUGGACAGACCCCUCCAUGGACCCACGCUGCUGACAGACCUUCACUCCACAAACCCAAAGCUCAGAGCCAUGGUGACA